rnacentral:rRNA from 1 species
AUGAGAGGAGGACAGCCACAGCAGCAAGCGGCGUGCUGUCCCAGCCAGCUGUCGUACAUAGCCGAGUCGAUUUUGCGUUGCCUUACCUCCUGUUGUUUGGUUUUCCGCUUUUGCUCACUUCUCCUUCCAAUGUUGGUGCAGGAUCGUUCGUUGUUCGGCUGGCUGCUGAGGUUUGCCAACGACGUCAGUUUGUUAUUUUCUCCUGAAGGUUCUUUGUUGAUUCGUUGGACGUGUGUGAUGCUGACCAACAAGUGGCGUUCAAGUACGACAAGACCAUAUUAUGACAGGAGCAUAAAGGCAUAA